AACCCCAACCAUUCUGUGACUCAUUUUAUGAUUCUGUGAAGUCACAUUGGUGUGCACAGUAACCCCCACCCAGCACACAGGUAUAAAAUAGCACAAGCUGAGAAACAAUCCUACCCAUUCAGAAAGACCAUUUGAAGCCAUAUAAGGGAAAGAGCAACUUCCAUUUAUCUCACAAUUUGAUAUGCACUUUCUGAAGGAUCCCAAAGGAAUUUGCAGAUCAAGAAGAACCUUCACUCGGAAAUGUCAGCCCAGUACAAAUGGAUGAAAAACAAAUGCAACUCUGCAGGCAGAGCACAGUAAAUACUUCUCAGCUCAAAGCAAAGCCAUGCAACAGUUGAAGAACAUGGAUGAACAUGAAGUACAUAUUCAAACAAAAGUGAAGUAAUUAAGAGUGAAAAAUCUAGAUAUAAAAAUUCAGGAACUAGCAUUUAGCCAUUA